UACGUAGGGUGCGAGCGUUAAUCGGAAUUGCUGGGCGUAAAGCGUGCGCAGGCGGUUCGUUAAGUCAGCUGUGAAAGCCCCGGGCUCAACCUGGGAAUUGCGGUUGAAACUGGCGGACUAGAAUCUGGCAGAGGGGGGUGGAAUUCCACGUGUAGCAGUGAAAUGCGUAGAGAUGUGGAGGAACACCGAUGGCGAAGGCAGCCCCCUGGGCUGAGAUUGACGCUCAGGCACGAAAGCGUGGGGAGCAAACAGG
rnacentral:rRNA from 1 species